GGAGAUCCCUCCUUAGUGAAGUUUUCCAUUGUGAACCUGGAAUCUUCUGAUAUGGGUGGAGCACUGGAGAUGUAUUGCUGGAAAGCCAUGCCUCCUUUCUCCUAAUGAACCUCCAAACCUCCUGUGCUGUGAGUCAGUGAUGAAAUAACUGUCGUCUGAAUAAAGCUUUUAGUGCUGAACGUGAAAAAGUUCUAGGCUGCCAGCAGGUGGGAUCUGUGAUCAAACAGGAUAUAACAACUUGCACCUGGAUUACAAGAUAAAGCAGUGAAAUGGCACUUUUGUGGGAAAGGAGCUAACUCAGUCAUGAGAAAACAGUUUUGAAGAAAAGACAACAAGCACGUGUAACUGCUUGAAUUGCCUUGAGGACCAAUAUUUUGAUCUUGAACUGGCAUCCGCCCUUCCCUUGGCUUCAGCUGAUGGAAGAUGAGAUGCAUCUCUAUGUACAUCUAUUGCUUUGCAGCUCCCUUCCUGACUCUUGCCAGAAAUAGAUGUUACUAAGUACAUAGUGAUAUUUAUUUAACAUCUGGUACCCCACCGUGGUCCUGUUCUCCACCCAGAGAAAGGAUGCCCUUAGGCACAGGUGCUCUCAGUCCAGGAGAUGUCAUGGUGAUAUGUUUUAUGGCCACAGUGUUGAUAGGUUGAUGGCUGGACUACAAUUAUUUUAGUGACCUUUUCCAACCUAAAUGAUUCUGUGGCUGAGCUGGCACCUCCAGUGGUAUAGGGUGGGCUCUGGGAUGGUGUUGAUAGGUUUUUUUUCUACUGCUAGCAGAGAGGGGAUGCAUUUUCUCCUAUGAGAGCUGAUGAUGCUCUAUGAUUGCUGCAUACCCCAGCACCUUGCAAGGGCAUCUUGCAUUUGGAACAUCUUAAAACAUCUUAAACAGUGGCUGCAAAGUGUGAGAUACUAAAUAAGACUUUCUGCACACAGAGAAGAUUUAAAAAUGAAGGAAAGGCAGUGUGCAGCAUGACUCAGAGCAACACGCAAAAAGAACAGAGCCAUAGUGUGUUUGCUUGUGCAAUGGCUGCCUUUCUGCUUCUAUGUUUUGCUCCCAAACCCACGUGGCACAUGCUAUGCAGCUCUAUGCUUGAACUUUUCCUGGUUUCUUUUUAGUACUGGUGGUGUGGUGCAGCCAUCACCAGCAAAGGUGCACAUCUUGUUGCCCUACCAGCCCUGGGCAGUGAUGUCUGGCCAGCGUAGCACAUGAGAUGUGAGCUCUGCCAGCUCCUCCCAAAGUGGGUGUCUGUCUAGAGGAGAAAAAAAAUAGAAAAGAAGAAAAAGAAAAGGAGGAAAAAAAAAAA